CCUACGUGGUGCAGCAGUGGGGAAUAUUGCACAAUGGGGGAAACCCUGAUGCAGCGACGCCGCGUGUGGGAAGACGGUCCUCUGGAUUGUAAACCACUGUCCCCAGGGACGAAGAUGACGGUACCUGGGGAGGAAGCUCCGGCUAACUACGUGCCAGCAGCCGCGGUAAUACGUAGGGAGCGAGCGUUGUCCGGAAUUACUGGGUGUAGAGGGAGCGUAGGCGGGGAUGCAAGUUGGGUGUCAAAACUACCGGCUCAACUGGUAGUCGCACUCAAAACUGCAGCUCUUGAGUGAAGUAGAGGCAGGCGGAAUUCCUAGUGUAGCGGUGAAAUGCGUAGAUAUUAGGGGGAACACCAGUGGCGAAGGCGGCCUGCUGGGCUUUUACUGACGCUGAGGCUCGAAAGUGUGGGGAGCAAACAGGAUUAGAUACCCUGGUAGUC
rnacentral:rRNA from 1 species